rnacentral:rRNA from 1 species
GCAGUCGACGCUGAAGCCUGGUGCUUGCACCGGGUGGAUGAGUGGCGAACGGGUGAGUAACACGUGAGUAACCUGCCCCUGACUUCGGGAUAAGCCCGGGAAACUGGGUCUAAUACCGGAUACGACUGCCGGACGCAUGUCUGGUGGUGGAAAGUUUUUUCGGUUGGGGAUGGGCUCGCGGCCUAUCAGUUUGUUGGUGAGGUAAUGGCUCACCAAGACGACGACGGGUAGCCGGCCUGAGAGGGCGACCGGCCACACUGGGACUGAGACACGGCCCAGACUCCUACGGGAGGCAGCAGUGGGGAAUAUUGCACAAUGGGGGAAACCCUGAUGCAGCGACGCAGCGUGCGGGAUGACGGCCUUCGGGUUGUAAACCGCUUUCAGCAGGGAAGAAGCGCAAGUGACGGUACCUGCAGAAGAAGUACCGGCUAACUACGUGCCAGCAGCCGCGGUAAUACGUAGGGUACGAGCGUUGUCCGGAAUUAUUGGGCGUAAAGAGCUCGUAGGUGGUUGGUCACGUCUGCUGUGGAAACGCAACGCUUAACGUUGCGCGUGCAGUGGGUACGGGCUGACUAGAGUGCAGUAGGGGAGUCUGGAAUUCCUGGUGUAGCGGUGAAAUGCGCAGAUAUCAGGAGGAACACCGGUGGCGAAGGCGGGACUCUGGGCUGUAACUGACACUGAGGAGCGAAAGCAUGGGGAGCGAACAGGAUUAGAUACCCUGGUAGUCCAUGCCGUAAACGUUGGGCACUAGGUGUGGGGGGCAUUCCACGUUCUCCGCGCCGUAGCUAACGCAUUAAGUGCCCCGCCUGGGGAGUACGGUCGCAAGGCUAAAACUCAAAGGAAUUGACGGGGGCCCGCACAAGCGGCGGAGCAUGCGGAUUAAUUCGAUGCAACGCGAAGAACCUUACCAAGGCUUGACAUACACCGGACCGUCCUGGAAACAGGUCCUCUUCUUUGAAGCUGGUGUACAGGUGGGUGCAUGGUUGUCGUCAGCUCGUGUCGUGAGAAUGUUGGGGUUAAGUCCCGCAACGAGCGCAACCCUCGUUCUAUGUUG